CAGCACGUAACACCAACAAUUUAUACCUAGAAUUCUCACCAACCAAUCAUAUCUGGAAGUUUAAAAAUAGAUGUGAAUUAUUUGUUUGGGAGUGUAUGUCUUGGUGGGAAUGCAGAAAGAUUUAGAGAUUGCUUGGAGAGGAGUCAUACAUUGAAGACCCUUGGAAGUUAUCGGAUAUCCUAGGAGAUAGCACCAGAUUUGAUUGCACACUGUUCCAUGAAAGAAUCUGUUUGUUGAUUACUAUCUGUGGAUUUAUUGAGUGUCUGUAUCGUAGCAUCCAUCAAAACAAGGCAGAAAUCACAGUCCGAUGGGAUGGUAGAAGUUGAGGUUAUGCCUUCUUGGAACUGAUUCUAAAUGACUGAAGAUUGGUAACAUUAUUGGAUACUUUUGACUAUCUAGAGCUGCAUCCCCUUCAUCAACCAUGGCUGAUUCCAGAUUAUCCACAAAGGUCCUGCUAGCAACUAUUAUUAUCUUAUUCACUGUAGCUGCAACGGGAAUGUCUAAGCUCUCAGCGAUGACUAUGAUCAUGAUUGCCUCAUUAGUCUUCACUACAACCAUCAUCGCUAUGUGCUUUGAUAAAGCCAUCUUACACUUUGCUGAAAGGAAAGCUGCACAACAGGCUGCAAAAGAGACUAGCACAUCCACUGCAACAAAGUCAGAAUGAGAGGAAAAUAUACAAAACAAUGUCAUCGUCUCCACUCCUACCACUGAUCUUCACUCGACCUAUUCAGACUAGACUAACAUGUCUGAAGAUGGAUACUUUUUGACUGUUUUACUGCCGGAAUAAAAUCCUGUAAGGACAAGGUGCAAAUUGGGUUUGUAAAUCACAACAUAAUCCUGUCAUCAAUGAGGUCCUAUGUAAGGUCAGUAAGCAAACAUUACCAUUGACUGGUUCCCUGUGUGUGGGAUACCCGUAAGUAGAAUCACAGGCAGCAAACGUACAAUAAGAUACAUUAUCUUCCAGUACGCGCUAAUCCUCCAAUCAGAUUCUCGAACCGGAGUGUGGUAAUAAGCCAUAACCUACUCCCAGUUUUUACAUAGCACUCUGCGUAUUGUGAGUGUCAAUGUGUCCAAUCCUAUGUAUAUGGUCAGUGCAUGCUGUUUGUCAUGAAAUAACGCUACCAUCAAAUCAUCUAUCUGGCAGCUGGGAUAUAAACUUUCAACUCAUUUAAUUCUGAAGAAUGGACUUCCCUCAACAAAAAUCAUGAGCAUUCAACACCCAGUGUUUUCUGGAUAAGGGCAGUUCCAUAGAAAUGUAAACCUCAGUGCCAAAAUUUCAAAAUGGCACUAAUGUGGCAAAUGAGGCAUCAUUUUUGUAGCUAAUUGUAUGAAUUUUAUUAAAAUAUAAUUUGUUACUGAAAAUAUUCAGCGGCUCAAGUUCUAUUUUCGACUGAAAAAAUACUUUAAAAAUAGUGAAAUUGGCUCAAAAAUAAUGUUUUGCCAAAUUAAUCAAAUUUUUUA